rnacentral:rRNA from 1 species
AUUGAACGCUGGCGGCAGGCUUAACACAUGCAAGUCGAGCGAGCGGCGGACGGGUGAGUAAUGUCUGGGAAACUGCCUGCUGGAGGGGGAUAACUACUGGAAACGGUAGCUAAUACCGCAUACCAUCAGAUGUGCCCAGAUGGGAUUAGCUAGGAGGUGGGGUAAUGGCUCACCUCGGCGACGAUCCCUAGCGGGUCUGAGAGGAUGACCAGCCACACUGUAACGGAGACACGGUCCAGACUCGUACGGGAGGCAGCAGUGGGGAAUAUUGCACAAUGGGCGAAAGCCUGAUGCAGCCAUGCCGCGUGUGUGAAGAAGGCCUUCGGGUUGUAAAGCACUUUCAGCGAGGAGGCGGUACUCGCAGAAGAAGCACCGGCUAACUCCGUGCCAGCAGCCGCGGUAAUUC